GCGGGUGUGGCGAAAUUGGUAGACGCACCAGAUUUAGGUUCUGGCGCCGCGAGGCGUGGGGGUUCGAUUCCCUUCACCCGCACCA
rnacentral:tRNA from 1 species